AUUUCCCCAAAAAAAAGGGGAAGAAAAGAAAAGAGAAGGUGCGGUAGGAAAGACGCGGGAAUAUGGCGGACAGUUGGUUGGGCCCAUGUCCCUCUCGCUCUCCCUCUCUGAAUCUCACUCUCAGUUUCCCCCAAUUUCCUUGGAGAUCUCAUUCCAUGUCUACCCUUCGCUCCCAAAACCCUAAACAUUUCCGUUGCUACUCCUUCUCCUCCAUCCCUAACCCUAGCCCUGUCAUGCCUUCCUUGCUUGUCUUUUCAGGUGGGACUGCGUUCAACGGCGUCGUUGAGGAGCUCAAGAAUUUCACUACUCGCGUAGCUCACGUCCUUCCUGUUUCCGACGAUGGAGGAAGUACGGCUGAGAUCGUUCGUGUUCUCGGUGGUCCUGCUGUCGGAGAUAUACGGUCCAGAUGUUUGAGAUUGGCUGAUAAGAGCUCUUCUGAGGCUGUGGCAGUCCGGAGAUUGCUUGGUCACCGUUUACCUCUUGAUUCGCGUCAAGCCAAAUCUGAAUGGUAUGAUAUUGUGGAAGGAGAACAUUCGCUAUGGACGGGAGUAUCAAAACCCUACAGGGAAACCAUUCGAGCUUUUCUAGUUUAUUUUCAGAAUCAGAUACUCCGGCGAUCUGAUGAAUCAUUUUGCUUCAGUAAUGGCAGCAUUGGGAAUUUCUUCUUUGCAGGAGCACGCACAUUUUUUCAGUCCUUAGAUGCUGCAAUAUUUUUGUUUUCCCGUGUGUCAGAUAUCCCCUCAGAGAGUCUGGUCCUCCCAGUGAUUUCUACUAACGACAGGCUUACAUUAGGAUGUGAAUUAUGGGAUGGAACUAUAAUACGAGGCCAGAACAAAAUUUCUCAUCCGACCAAGGGAUAUAUGGAACCUGUCAAUAAGGAAAGCUCUUCAUUUCCAGCACUUCCUUCGAGCAUAAAGCGGGUAUUCUACAUGUCAAGUGAGGGCCAAAACUUGCUGCAUGAGGUCUUCCCUGCUGCAAACCCAUCUGUCUUGGAUCAGUUACGUAAUGUGGAUUGCGUAGUUUAUGCUAUGGGAUCCCUCUUUACUUCUAUUUGCCCAUCACUGGUAUUAAUUGGCAUUGGGGAGAUUAUAUCUUCAAGGUCCUGCCCCAAGGUGCUUUUGUUAAAUGGUACACGUGACCGAGAGACCAGUGGCUUUUCAGCUUCUUGCUUUGUAACUGCUAUCACAGAUGCAUUAAAUCGAACAUAUGGAAAUCCUCAUAACUGUCUUGCAAACCUUCCCAGCCAAUACAUCAAUACCGUAUUAGUGCCCAAAGGUGGUGAGAUUCCUAUAGAUGUUCAAAGCUUGGCUGCCAAAGGAAUCUUUAACGUGAUCGUUGUUGAUUCUAUACAUGAUCUAAAAGCUGGUGUAGUAUUUGACCCAAAGUCGUUAAUACAAGCCCUUGUUGACGUGAUAGGCAGAUGCACGAGUACAAAUCUUACGGCGGUAGUCUAAUGACAGUGAAAAAAGGAGCAAGCAUGGUAAUUUUCAUGUGGCUGUUCAUUAGUUUCAUUAUUCAUGAGGAACACUUUCUGGCUUAUUUUGACUUGAGGUGAUCUUCAGUUCAAGGAUGUAGAUGGGAAGUUGUUUGUGUUAUUUGAAGGUUGAAACCCUAAUUCAAUUGAAUUGCAGCAGUUUAUAUGCCCACUUAGAAUCAGAGACGGUGACACCUCUCACAAGGUGCUUUCCAGUUAUGUACAGAAUUGACUUAGAUAGUCGUGACAGUGUCACUGCAUUUUUGGGCAUGGAACUUUAUUAUGUAUUCAAUGAUUUGUGUGUGUAUAUAUAUAUAUACAUGUCUUUUGUACGUCAAUACCAUUGUUCGUUAAGGCCCAUGUACGAGGGU